rnacentral:rRNA from 1 species
UACGUAGGGGGCAAGCGUUGUCCGGAAUCAUUGGGCGUAAAGAGCGUGUAGGCGGCUUGGUAAGUCCGCUGUGAAAGUCCAGGGCUCAACCCUGGAAAGCCAGUGGAAACUGCCAAGCUAGAGUCCGGAAGAGGCGAGUGGAACUCCUGGUGUAGCGGUGAAAUGCGCAGAUAUCAGGAGGAACACCGGUGGCGAAGGCGGGUCCCUGGGCCGAUACUGACGCUGAGGAGCGAAAGCGUGGGGAGCGAACAGG